rnacentral:tRNA from 1 species
GGCGGCAUGGCCAAGUGGUAAGGCAGAGGAUUGCAAAUUCUUUAUCCCCAGUUCGAAUCUGGGUGCCGCCU